AUUGCCCUAAAUCAAGGCUGGUAGCUUACUGUAGCUUCUGGCUUCAAACAGGUGCAUAAAAUAUCUUCUUCCUGUGGUCUGUUGGCUGUGAAAUUUAUUUUAUGACCAAGCCUAUUCAGUUGGAAGAAACAAUU